rnacentral:rRNA from 1 species
GACGAACGCUGGCGGCGUGCUUAACACAUGCAAGUCGAGCGGUAAGGCCCUUUCGGGGGUACACGAGCGGCGAACGGGUGGGUAACACGUGGGUGACCUGCCCUCAGCUCUGGGAUAAGCCUGGGAAACUGGGUCUAAUACUGGAUAUGACUCCACGGUGCAUGUCGUGGGGUGGAAAGCCUUGUGCGGCUGAGGAUGGGCCCGCGGCCUAUCAGCUUGUUGGUGGGUGAUGGCCUACCAAGGCGACGACGGGUAGCCGGCCUGAGAGGGCGACCGGCCACACUGGGACUGAGACACGGCCCAGACUCCUACGGGAGGCAGCAGUGGGGAAUCUUGCGCAAUGGGCGAAAGCCUGACGCAGCGACGCCGCGUGAGGGAUGACGGCCUGUGU